CGCGCAAUUCCUGCGCAGGACAGUCGUUCAUUAGGAAACAGCAACACAGCGGCAGGACAGCCAACAUGUCAGACAAGAAACAGACCGUGGAUCUGGGUUUACUGGAGGAGGAUGAUGAGUUUGAAGAGUUCCCAGCCGAGGAUUGGACGGGGCUGGAUGAAGAUGAAGAUGCUCAUGUGUGGGAAGAUAACUGGGAUGAUGACAAUGUAGAAGAUGAUUUCUCAAAUCAACUGAGAGCGGAGCUGGAAAAACAUGGUUACAAAAUGGAGACGUCAUAGUGGCUUACAAGGCCUUUCAGUGUGUGAUGACAUUGGAUAUGGACAUUUAUAUUUGAAUAUUACUGGUUGACCACACACCAACGGAAGAGAUUUGAGGAUGUUAAUUUGUUUCUUUUUUUUUGUAAGAAAUAUUGAUAAAAAGUAAAGUGUUUGGACAAAAACAGUUUGUGUGUUUUUACUGUACAACUAUACUGCAAAUAUUUAGACAAUGACA